rnacentral:misc_RNA from 1 species
GGGCAAUCAUUCAGCUGAAAUAUGUGACGGUCGAAGUACCAGUCUCCAACCGCUUUGGCAAUCGUGGUAUUUCCAAGUAUAGGAGAAUCGGAUCUUAACCAUGUUUCCUGUGUCCCGGCCUGGCAGUGGGCAUAGCACGAAUUUAUAAACAUCCCUCUUGUCGAAGAGCUACCUAUUCCGGCCAACGCGCUAAGAAACCCAGAUCUGUAAUCUUGGAUGGUUUGGAGUUGAGCUGAAGAGCACUUUGUUAUAUCAAGUUUGC